AAAAAGUGCUACACCCACAAAGUAGGUUUUAAAUACUUUAAAUAGUUUUAAUCUAGUUUAUUUUAUUUGUUUUAUACUAAAACGUAUUAAUAUACUUUCUCUUUACUUAAAAUAUAUCAGUUUUUAUAUAACAAUAUAUUUUAAGUAAAGCUAUUGCAAUUUAUUUGGGUAGUUAUUUGUAUAUGGUUGUUGUGUACAAGAAAUGUUAUAAAAGUGAGUUGACAUACACAAUUUAUUAGAGCAGUUGUCGGUGUGACAGGUUUGUUCAUCAAACGUAAAUAUUUUAAAAUUUUUAGUAGUUGGCAUUAUCCAUUUUUCACUGGCGGGGACUUGCCCAGGCAGAUGCAGCAUCUUCGACACUUCAACUGUUUGAACGCUGCAGCGGAUCUUUUCAGGGACUGAUUAACACGAUACCCAAGCACUUUUGUUACCUGAGGGUCUUCAAGCUUCAUAUUCAGAGUCAUGAUGAAAGCGAGGUGCAGGCUGAGCUUGGCAGUUGCCCACUGAAAAUUUACAUGUGCCAUCAUCCCGACACAAUUGGAAUUAUCAUAGAAGGAAAGCCCGUGGUCAGAGGUGUGCCAAACCUGUCGAAAGCAUGCUGCCUCUUGUUUGGACUUACAUAUGCCCUCGACCUCAAGUAUCCCCCAAAGUUGGUGUACACAUUCGAGAUAUAUCAGAGGCUGUUUGUGGGAUUGGACCCCAUGCGUCCUAAGCCAUCAUCCAAGUAUACCAAUCUCCUCAUUAAGUUAUCUUAGAUGUUUUCUCAAUGACAUCUGACAUUGUUUGCCAUCAUUUAACAAGUCUCUGAAUUUUACAAGUAUUUUGAUUUAAAAUACAAAAAUCUUACAGAUUUUCUUUUUUCGUUUGUUUUUUGGCUAUUUCACUUAACUGUUCAGAACAGGUUGAAAUUACACUUACACAAUGUUUGUUUUAUAUUAUUGUGUACAUGUGCAGCCACAUUAAUGGCCUGUUUUGUAGUCACUGCUAAAUGUGACACUGGUUGACACUGAAUAAAUGUUGUCUUCAGUCUAUCCUAUCUUUUUCUUCUUCAAUUGAUUUUGUAAUUGUUAUUGACAGUCUGUUUAUAUAAAGUUAAUCACUGUAGGGUUUAGAAUAUAAACAUUUAAAUUUCUUUUCUGAGGGUAUAGUCAGGACUCAAUUAAAAUGUUUAUUCAAAUAUGAUUAGAUUAAUUUUACUAAAAACAUAAAGUUCAUAAAACCUAAUUAAAAUGAGUACAGGUUGCUUGUAGCAACCCAUAAAUAAGUUACCUGUACCAAGAAAAGUAGGUUUAUCUAAGUAAUACUAGUACUAUUAGUUACCUCAACUUGAUUUUGUUGCAUUUGUAUUAAGUAAUGUUACUGUGUUUAUUAUACUUAAAAAAGACUGCAAGUUGACUCAACUUAAAACAUCCAAUGCAGCCACUUGCCUCACUUUUUAUAAGUUAGAUCUAGGUAUUACUUUUU